AACGAACGCUGGCGGCAUGCCUAACACAUGCAAGUCGAACGAAGGCUUCGGCCUUAGUGGCGCACGGGUGCGUAACGCGUGGGAAUCUGCCCCUUGCUUCGGAAUAACAGUUAGAAAUGACUGCUAAUACCGGAUGAUGUCGAAAGACCAAAGAUUUAUCGGCAAGGGAUGAGCCCGCGUAGGAUUAGGUAGUUGGUGGGGUAAAGGCCUACCAAGCCGACGAUCCUUAGCUGGUCUGAGAGGAUGAUCAGCCACACUGGGACUGAGACACGGCCCAGACUCCUACGGGAGGCAGCAGUGGGGAAUAUUGGACAAUGGGGGCAACCCUGAUCCAGCAAUGCCGCGUGAGUGAUGAAGGCCUUAGGGUUGUAAAGCUCUUUCACCCGGGAUGAUAAUGACAGUACCGGGAGAAUAAGCUCCGGCUAACUCCGUGCCAGCAGCCGCCGCAG
rnacentral:rRNA from 1 species